rnacentral:rRNA from 1 species
CCUACGGGUGGCAGCAGUGAGGAAUAUUGGUCAAUGGACGCGAGUCUGAACCAGCCAAGUCGCGUGAAGGAUGACUGCUCUAUGGGUUGUAAACUUCUUUUAUACAAGAGUAAAGUCAGGAACGUGUGUCUUUCUGUAUGUACUUUAUGAAUAAGGAUCGGCUAACUCCGUGCCAGCAGCCGCGGUAAUACGGAGGAUCCGAGCGUUAUCCGGAUUUAUUGGGUUUAAAGGGUGCGUAGAUGGGUGGUUAAGUUAGUGGUGAAAGCUCGCGGCUCAACCGUAGAAUUGCCAUUGAUACUGGUAGUCUAGAGAGCAGUUGCGGUAGGCGGAAUGCAUGGUGUAGCGGUGAAAUGCUUAGAUAUCAUGAAGAACACCGAUUGCGAAGGCAGCUUACUAAGCUACCACUGACAUUGAUGCACGAAAGCGUGGGUAGCAAACAGGAUUAGAUACCCUUGUAGUC